GAAAAUUAAGUUUAUAUAAUAUUUGUUUGUCAAGCAAAAGAGGGCCUAAGCCAGUUUUUA
rnacentral:tRNA from 1 species